rnacentral:lncRNA from 1 species
CCAGGCACUAGGAGGUAUUCAAGGGAGAGUUACUCCUCUGUUUUGACAUUCCCUUCCCUGGAGAGAUGUAACAACAUCAGCCUUCUCCUUAUAAGCCCUGAGCCUGGAUUCCCCUCUCUGGAUCUAUGCAAUACUGCGAAGUGUCGGCAGGUGGCGCCACUGCACUGUCGGGUCCCUUCCUGCUGGAGGCUAAGGGAAGACCACCCAAGGUGGCACAGCCUCCUCCUGCCUGUGACCCCACCCUGGGAAGUUCUAAAGGCUGAAGUGCUCUUGAGACUUUUGGAUAAUGUACAUUUUAGUUUAUUAAUGUCUAUAAUAAAAGCCCAAGACAAACUCCUCAGUACCAGAAGAACUCGGGCAAGGCCUAGGGCAGGCCUCUCUUUUCUCUUCAUACUUCAUGUGGGAGCCACAUGUGGGAAGGGGAUCUAAUUCUGCUUCUCUCGAGGUGAGGUGCGGGGGUGGUGGUGGGGGCAUCCUUCUUUGGUUUAGAAACCCCACUUACUAAGGUAAUGUUUAAUUAGUACUGUUAU